rnacentral:misc_RNA from 1 species
ACAUUGUGUUCACCUAAAUUUUUUUGCAAUAUUAUUUAUAUUUACACAUUGUUCAGAGGUUGUAUUUUUCAUUUAUUGUAUGAGAAUUUAUGUCAUCUAUCACCUUAUUCAUGAUUUUUAUGCUCUGAUUUGCGCAGCUUUAUAUUGUUUAUUUUUUUUUGUUUACACUCUGUUGUUAUUUUUAUUAAUUACAUGUAACUAUAUUUACUUGUCUAUAAUUUCUUAAAGGUAAAUCUGAUUAUUUAUUUUUCUCUUGCAACAUUAAUGAGAUUAAGUUUUAUUUGUUUGAAAAACUUCAAGAUUAAUACACGUACAUGGUGUAUAGUAAAUGCAAGAUUUUCAAGAGGUUUCACAUUAAUUGGAUUGAAUGAAUAAGAUUAAUUUGGAUUUCUUUUUACUUCGACCUACCAUGAGAACCAUAUAUGCAAUGUUAAAAAGUUGUUUUUUUAAAUUGACACAAAACGAUGUUUGUUAAAUAUUUAAAAAAAAACUUCAUUUUGAAAAAAAAACCCAUUUUUUAAGAGAAUAUGCUAGAGCAAAUAUGGUAUACGUAAGCUUUUUUAAGGGAAAAAGCAGAAUUUUUUUUAUAAGGAACAUGUACAUGUAUUUAGCUCAAUGUUUAGUUGUAGUACAAUUCAUACAUGUAGCAUUAUCUACCGCUAAUUGGUUUGCCAAAAACGUAGGCCAGUCAUAAAUACACGUACUUUGAUAGACAGAAUAAUACUGCUGUAGAAAUUAUAUUGUAAAUAUUUUAUUUUUAAGUGCAUUUAGCACAAAGUACAUAUGAAAAUACAAAAGACAUUGCAGAAGGUUGAAUAUGCUUGCAACUACAUUGUUCAAAGUAGCUUUGGAGUAAUAUUCUUACUUUAAAUUGCAAAGUAGAUUUGUCGUUUCCGGUUUUUGAAUUCGUUUGUUUGGGAUAUAUUGGUAAGUUAAAAUCCUUUGAAUUGCACUUCUUAAAGAAUACGUUUUUGUGUGUAUUUUUAGCCAUGCUAGUUAUUUCAUCUUACACCCUCAAUAAAGAUGUUUGUUUUUUUUUGAAGACUUGCACAACUAAUAUCAAAUUGAUAGUAAUCGGAUUAGUGCUCAUGACAACUUUACAUUUUUUUUUAAUGUUGACUUGAGAUCAAUUUUCUUGCUGCAGAACAUUUUCUACUGAAAAAAAUGUAAGUGUCAAAUUUUUUGGGUUGGUAUUUCGCUCCUCCUUUUUAUUGUUGUUUUGUUGAUAUUUAAUUGUGCCCUUUUUUGUGACUUCGAACAUCUGUGAUAUUUACAUUCUGUAACCACUGACCAAUAGAUUACACUUGCUGUUGGACAAUGUUUUGUCAUAAAAAAAUAGUUCUAGAAAAUAAAAACUUUGACGAGAAAUAC